rnacentral:rRNA from 2 species
CGUGGACUUGCUCCUGAANUACGGCGGNGGGUGAGUACACGUGGGCACCUGCCUAUAAGACUGGGAUAACUUCGGGAAACCGGAGCUAAUACCGGAUACGUUCUUUUCUCGCAUGAGAGAAGAUGGAAAGACGGUUUACGCUGUCACUUAUAGAUGGGCCCGCGGCGCAUUAGCUAGUUGGUGAGGUAAUGGCUCACCAAGGCGACGAUGCGUAGCCGACCUGAGAGGGUGAUCGGCCACACUGGGACUGAGACACGGCCCAGACUCCUACGGGAGGCAGCAGUAGGGAAUCUUCCGCAAUGGACGAAAGUCUGACGGAGCAACGCCGCGUGAACGAAGAAGGCCUUCGGGUCGUAAAGUUCUGUUGUUAGGGAAGAACAAGUACCAGAGUAACUGCUGGUACCUUGACGGUACCUAACCAGAAAGCCACGGCUAACUACG